rnacentral:rRNA from 1 species
AUUGAACGCUGGCGGCGUGCCUAAUACAUGCAAGUCGAGCGAAUGACGAGGAGCUUGCUCCUCUGAUUUAGCGGCGGACGGGUGAGUAACACGUGGGUAACCUGCCUGUAAGACGGGGAUAACUCCGGGAAACCGGAGCUAAUACCGGAUGAUAACGAGAAGCGCCUGCUUCUUUUUUGAAAGUCGGUUUCGGCUGACACUUACAGAUGGGCCCGCGGCGCAUUAGCUAGUUGGUGAGGUAACGGCUCACCAAGGCGACGAUGCGUAGCCGACCUGAGAGGGUGAUCGGCCACACUGGAACUGAGACACGGCCCAGACUCGUACUGGAGGCAGCGGAAGCGAAUCUUCGGCAAUGGACGAAAGUCUGACCGAGCAUCGCCGCGGGAGCGAUGAAGGCCUUCGGGUCGUAAAGCUCUGUUGUCAGAGAAGAACAAGUACCGGAGUAACUGCCGGUACCUUGACGGUACCUGACCAGAAAGCCACGGCUAACUACGUGCCAGCCGCCGCAGUAA